UACGUAGGGUGCGAGCGUUAAUCGGAAUUACUGGGCGUAAAGCGUGCGCAGGCGGUUCUGAAAGUCAGCUGUGAAAGCCCCGGGCUUAACCUGGGAAUUGCGGUUGAAACUACAGGGCUAGAAUCUGGCAGAGGGGGGUGGAAUUCCGACGUGUAGCAGUGAAAUGCGUAGAGAUGUGGAGGAACACCGAUGGCGAAGGCAGCCCCCUGGGCUGAGAUUGACGCUCAGGCACGAAAGCGUGGGGAGCAAACAGG
rnacentral:rRNA from 1 species